rnacentral:rRNA from 1 species
AUUGAACGCUGGCGGCAGGCCUAACACAUGCAAGUCGAGCGGAGCGGCGGACGGGCGAGUAAGGCCUAGGAAGCAGACUGGUAGAGGGGGAUAACGUCCGGAAAAGGACGGUAAUAACGAAUACUAGCAGACGAGCCUAGGUCGGAUUAGCUAGUUGGUGGGGUAAAGUCCGACCAAGGCGACGAACCGUAAAUGGUCUGAGAGGAUGAACAGUCACACUGGAACUACGCCACAGUCCAGACUCCUACGGGUGGCAGCAGUGGGGAAUAUUGGACAAUGUACGAAAGCCUGAUCCAGCCAUGCCGCGUGUGUGAAGAAGGUCUUCGGAUUGUAAAGCACUUUAAGUUGGGAGGCGUUACCAACAGAAUAAGCACCGGCUAACUACGUGCCAGCAGCCGCGGUAAUAC